GCUGACGGAGCUGCUGCAGGGCUUCACGGUGGAGGUGCUCCGGCACCAGCCCGCGGACCUGCUGGACUUCGCGCUGCAGCACUUCACGCGCCUGCAGCAGGAGAACGAGCGCAGGGGCGCCGCGCGCUUCGGCCACGAGGCCAGGACCUGGGGGGACGCGGGCGCCGCCGCCGGGGGAGGCACCCCCAGCAAGGGGGUCAACUUCGCCGAGGAGCCCGCGCGCACCGACUCGGAGGACGCCGAGGAGGAGGAGGAGGCCGCGGACGCCGGCGCGUUCAACGGCUCAGUUGCCCUUUGGCUUUUGCCCCAGCACCAGACAGACCUCCCGGGUCUCUGAGAUUCACAUUGCCAUGUCGGCCUACUUACCAGCCAUCUGACUUACAUGGUCUUCAGGUACCUCCAAAUAAUUUUCUCCUAAACUGAAAAUGUGAUCUUUUGUCCCUCACUCCCUUCCUGUACACCCAUGUCAUUUUUUUUUUUUUUUAAACUCCACUAAUGUGAGAAACUCGGUCAGCCUCAGUUUAUGGAAAACAAAUAGAUUGUGUUUAGUUGCUGAAAAUUUAAAGUAGUGAUGUGAAAAAUCAGAAACAAUGGAAAGUGAAAAAAAAAAAAAAGACUGACUUUGGCACGGAUUCUGGAUUUGACUCCUGGCUCUGCCGUUUAUAGAGAUGCCAAACUUUUGGCACCUUAAACACGUUACUUUACCAUCUGUGUCUCAGCUUCCUACUCUGUGAAAUGGGAAUAACGAUAGUCCCUACCAGAGAGGGUUGUCGUACGAAUUAAAUGAAGUUCAUGGGGUUUGUCAUCUACUCAGCAUUGUAUGUGGGCUUGGUGGAGAGCGCGGGCGAGUUUCAGGAAUCAGUGAGAACAUGGCACUUUUUAGAAAUGAAUUUUGGAAAUGUGAGAAUCUAGAGAUUGCAUUCAAGGCAGCGUAGUGAUGGUACUUUUUAAAAAGAAAGUCAUUAAUGAAAAGUAUAAAAGUAAAGUCUUUGAAUUAUUUAGCUAAGUGUUUCAGACCUUAACAAGCCCAUGCUCCUUUAAAUCUUGGCCCUUCUUGAAUUCCAUUUGAAAUGCAAGGUAAAUAGUCCGAUUUAAAAAAAAAUUUUUUUAAAAAAAGCAAUGGCAUAAAGCUUUGCUCUGUUUUCACACCAUCCCCCCCCCCCUUGAGAAUCCGCAUUUAACUAGCAGAAUAAAUAAAUUCGUGUGUGCA
rnacentral:lncRNA from 1 species